rnacentral:rRNA from 1 species
UACGUAGGGGGGCUAGCGUUGUCCGGAUUCAUUGGGCGUAAAGCGCGUGUAGGCGGCCAGGUAGGUCCGAUGUGAAAACUGGAGGCUCAACCUCCAGCUGUCAUUGGAAACCAUCUGGCUAGAGUCCGGAAGAGGAGAGUGGAAUUCCUGGUGUAGCGGUGAAAUGCGCAGAUAUCAGGAAGAACACCAAUUGCGAAGGCAGCUCGCUGGGACGUUACUGACGCUGAGACGCGAAAGCGUGGGGAGCGAACAGG